UACGGAGGGGGGCAAGCGUUGUUCGGAAUUACUGGGCGUAAAGUGUGCGCAGGCGGCAGAGCAAGUCGAGUGUGAAAGCCCCCGGGCUUAACUUGGGAAUUGCGCUCGAAACUACUUUGCUGGAGUGUGGCAGAGGAAGGUGGAAUUCCACGUGUAGCGGUGAAAUGCGUAGAGAUGUGGAGGAACACCAAUGGCGAAGGCAGCCUUCUGGGCCAACACUGACGCUCAUGCACGAAAGCGUGGGGAGCAAACAGG
rnacentral:rRNA from 1 species